UACAGAGGGUGCAAGCGUUAAUCGGAAUUACUGGGCGUAAAGCGUGCGUAGACGGUUAUUUAAGUCGGGUGUGAAAUCCCCGGGCUCAACCUGGGAAUUGCAUUUGUGACUGCACGGCUAGAGUGUGUCAGAGGGGGGUAGAAUUCCACGUGUAGCAGUGAAAUGCGUAGAGAUGUGGAGGAAUACCGAUGGCGAAGGCAGCCCCCUGGGAUAACACUGACGCUCAUGCACGAAAGCGUGGGGAGCAAACAGG
rnacentral:rRNA from 1 species